GAUGAACGCUGGCGGCGUGCCUAAUACAUGCAAGUCGAGCGAACAGACGAGGAGCUUGCUCCUCUGACGUUAGCGGCGGACGGGUGAGUAACACGUGGAUAACCUACCUAUAAGACUGGGAUAACUUCGGGAAACCGGAGCUAAUACCGGAUAAUAUAUUGAACCGCAUGGUUCAAUAGUGAAAGACGGUUUUGCUGUCACUUAUAGAUGGAUCCGCGCCGCAUUAGCUAGUUGGUAAGGUAACGGCUUACCAAGGCGACGAUGCGUAGCCGACCUGAGAGGGUGAUCGGCCACACUGGAACUGAGACACGGUCCAGACUCCUACGGGAGGCAGCAGUAGGGAAUCCUCCGCAAUGGGCGAAAGCCUGACCGAGCAACGCCGCGUGAGUGAUGAAGGUCUUCGGAUCGUAAAACUCUGUUAUUAGGGAAGAACAAAUGUGUAAGUAACUAUGCACGUCUUGACGGUACCUAAUCAGAAAGCCACGGCUAACUACGUG
rnacentral:rRNA from 1 species